rnacentral:rRNA from 1 species
UAUUGUUAGUUGCCAUCAUUCAGUUGGGCACUCUAGCGAGACUGCCGGUAAUAAACCGGAGGAAGUGGGGAUGACGUCAAAUCAUCAUGCCCCUUAUGACCUGGGCUACACACGUGCUACAAUGGUUGGUACAACGAGUUGCGAGUCGGUGACGGCGAGCUAAUCUCUUAAAGCCAAUCUCAGUUCGGAUUGUAGGCUGCAACUCGCCUACAUGAAGUCGGAAUCGCUAGUAAUCGCGGAUCAGCACGCCGCGGUGAAUACGUUCCCGGGCCUU